CGGGCUAUAGCGUAAUGGUAGCGCACACCCUUGGGGUGGGUGAGGAUGGAGUCCGAUUCUCCAUAGCCCGA
rnacentral:tRNA from 2 species